CCUACGGGGGGCAGCAGUAGGGAAUAUUGCUCAAUGGGGGAAACCCUGAAGCAGCAACGCCGCGUGGAGGAUGAAGGUUCUCGGAUUGUAAACUCCUUUUGUUAGAGAAGAUAAUGACGGUAUCUAACGAAUAAGCACCGGCUAACUCCGGGCCAGCAGCCGCGGUAAUACGGAGGGUGCAAGCGUUACUCGGAAUCACUGGGCGGAAAGGGCGCGUAGGCGGGAUCGGAAGGCCGAUGUGAAAGCCUAGGGCUUAACCAUAGGACGGCAUUUGAAACUGGUAGUCUAGAGUAGGGGAGGGGGAGGCGGAAGGCGUGGUGUAGGGGUGAAAGGCGUAGAGAUCAAGAGGAACA
rnacentral:rRNA from 1 species